GUGGCAUUACGGGGGCUGAGGUGGUCGACAAGGCAGUAGGAAAAGCGGCCACCAUAGACAUCAGUGGCACGGUUGGCAAAGGAAAUGUUGCUGUAGCCAAGUCCGAGGACACCGUCAGAGGUCUUGAAGCUGGGACCGGAGAAUGCGGAGCUACAGCCUACGACGAGGUCUCGGAGUUUGGUUUUCCGGCCGUCGGCAAGGUUGACUGUGGCCCAUUCCUUGGCGUAGAAACCUUGCGCCGUUGAGCCGUCGGAGUACCCGUAAUCGUAGGCGCAGGGGCUCGCCGGCGACGGGCACGUCGUCAGCGAGAACGGCAGCACCGUCCUGCACAUCUCCGACGAGCACCGGAUCGGCCGGAACGUCCUCGACGCCGC
rnacentral:misc_RNA from 1 species